rnacentral:misc_RNA from 1 species
AACUUGAGCAGCCCAGGUCA